rnacentral:rRNA from 1 species
AGGGAAUCUUCGGCAAUGGACGGAAGUCUGACCGAGCAACGCCGCGUGAGUGAAGAAGGUUUUCGGAUCGUAAAGCUCUGUUGUAAGAGAAGAACGAGUGUGAGAGUGGAAAGUUCACACUGUGACGGUAUCUUACCAGAAAGGGACGGCUAACUACGUGCCAGCAGCCGCGGUAAUACGUAGGUCCCGAGCGUUGUCCGGAUUUAUUGGGCGUAAAGCGAGCGCAGGCGGUUAGAUAAGUCUGAAGUUAAAGGCUGUGGCUUAACCAUAGUAGGCUUUGGAAACUGUUUAACUUGAGCGCAAGAGGGGAGAGUGGAAUUCCAUGUGUAGCGGUGAAAUGCGUAGAUAUAUGGAGGAACACCGGUGGCGAAAGCGGCUCUCUGGCUUGUAACUGACGCUGAGGCUCGAAAGCGUGGGGAGCAAACAGGAUUAGAUACCCUGGUAGUCCACGCCGUAAACGAUGAGUGCUAGGUGUUAGACCCUUUCCGGGGUUUAGUGCCGUAGCUAACGCAUUAAGCACUCCGCCUGGGGAGUACGACCGCAAGGUUG